rnacentral:rRNA from 1 species
UACGGAGGGGGCGAGCGUUGUUCGGAGUUACUGGGCGUAAAGCGCACGUAGGCGGUGCGGUAAGUCAGGGGUUAAAGGCUGCAGCUCAACUGCAGUAAGGCCUUUGAUACUAUCGUGCUAGAGUGUCAGAGAGGAUGGCGGAAUUCCCGGUGUAGGGGUGAAAUCCGUAGAUAUCGGGAGGAACACCAGUGGCGAAGGCGGCCUUCUGGCCUUAACCUGACGCUGAGGAGCGAAAGCUAGGGGAGCAAACAGG